UCUUACUAAAACAAUGAGCAUUCAAGAUAAAGCAAAGUUUGUUGAUCGCAACUGGGCAGAGUUGAUUCAAGACGUUUCAGAGGUAAUGGCAAUAACCGAGGCGCUUGGAGACAUGGUCCACCCUGAAACCUUAUCCAAUAUUGGAAGACAGGACACAAGCCAGGAUAAAAUGAGAAUGCUUCAUGGGCCUCUACGUUCAGGGGGCGAUAAGGUCAAGGCAGCCUUCUACGACGCCCUCAAGGCUCAACAUCUCCACCUAGUGGAGAGGCUUGGUGGUUCAUUCUGAAGACACUGUGGCCUCGCGCAUUCUCGCAGGUGCAGAAUACUUUGCAUGCCUCACCUACUUUCAUCUUUUGUAAAAAAGUUC